rnacentral:lncRNA from 1 species
UUUCAAAAAAACCCUAUUUUUUACAUAGCACCAAAUUAGAGCAUAACAUAUAAAUAAAUAGAAUUGGGCUGUAAUACUAUUAAUAGUAUUUGAACUCUUUCGCUAUUGAGUUUUUAACUUUUUGAUGAACUCUUUACCAGAGCACUAAUACUAUAGUAUCGUUUUCGAUCUUAGCUAGGAUGUUCAAAUCAACGAUCUACACAGUUAAAUAUGAUUUAGGGUAUAUGAAGUUCUUAGGAAUAAAAUUUUAAAAUUUUUUGACAUCGUUUACUUAGUAAGUAAUUCAUGUCAAAAUGAACGGUAGAAAUUGAACAAUUUUUAAAAUUUGAGCAUAGUACUUUUGAAUUCACAAUCAAGGAUGUUGACAUUAAUCUAGAUAGUUUAAAGUAUUUUCUAUCAAAGUUUGGAUAAAUUUAGAUUUUUCUAGACCGUUAAACUACAAAUUCGCCGUAGUAGCCAUUGAAAUUUGACAAUUUUGAAACGUUUGAUCAUAAAAUAAACUAUAUCAAAAAGAUAUUAAAUUUUAUUUCUAAAAACUAUAAAUAUAUUAAUCAGUUUUAACGGUAUGGAUCGUUGAUUUAAACAUUUUAAGAUUGAAACAAUACUCCAGUAAAGAUAGUAUAGGAGUCUAUAUACAUAUAUAUAGGGUUAAAUGCUUUCAUGUUCCUGUAAAUAUAGUGAAUUGUAAAUAUGCCUCUACCAAAUUCAAAUACUCUAGAUCAUAUUUAACGGAGUGGAUCGUCGAUUCGGAAGCUCCAUCAUCAAAAAUAACUUAUGAGUACGAAGGGCCCAAUACUCAUAAUAGUAUAGUAGCCUUACUCUAUAUAUAU